rnacentral:rRNA from 1 species
GACGAACGCUGGCGGCGUGCUUAACACAUGCAAGUCGAACGGAAAGGCCCUGCUUUUGUGGGGUGCUCGAGUGGCGAACGGGUGAGUAACACGUGAGUAACCUGCCCUUGACUUUGGGAUAACUUCAGGAAACUGGGGCUAAUACCGGAUAGGAGCUCCUGCUGCAUGGUGGGGGUUGGAAAGUUUCGGCGGUUGGGGAUGGACUCGCGGCUUAUCAGCUUGUUGGUGGGGUAGUGGCUUACCAAGGCUUUGACGGGUAGCCGGCCUGGGAGGGUGGCCGGCCACAUUGCGCCUACGAGACGGCCCAGAAGCCUACCGGAGGCAGCAGGCGGGAGCAUUGCAGAAUGGGCGGGAGCCUGAGACGGCAACCCCGCGUGCGUGAUGACGUCCUUCGGGUUGUAAACCGCUUUCGCCGGUGACGAAGCAUGAGUGACGGUAAUGGGUAAAGAAGCACCGGCUAACUACGUG